CAUGUCUUUUUGAUAUUAAUUUAAAGUCUAACCUGCCCUAUGAAUAAGAUUUAAAUGGCUGCAGUAUUUUGACUGUGCAAAGGUAGCAUAAUAAUUAGUUUCUUAAUUAGGAACUGGUAUGAAUGGUUGGACGAGAAAAAUUCUGUCUCAAUUUAAUUUAAAUUAGAAUUUUAUAUUUAAGUCAGAAAGCUUAAAUAUACUUAAAAGACGAGAAGACCCUAUAGAGUUUUAUAUUAAGUAAUUUAUUUAAAAAAUUAAAGAAUUUAAAAAUUAAUUAUAUUAUUUUAGUAUUUAGUUGGGGCGAUUUAAAAAUUAAUAGAACUUUUUUUAUAUUUAAACAUUAAUGUAUGAGUUUAUGAUCCAUAUUUUAUGAUUAAAAGAUUAAAUUACCUUAGGGAUAACAGCGUUAUUUUUUUUUAGAGUUCUUAUCGAAAAAAAAGUUUGCGACC
rnacentral:rRNA from 1 species